rnacentral:rRNA from 1 species
GUCCAGACUCCUACGGGAGGCAGCAGUGAGGAAUAUUGGUCAAUGGACGAGAGUCUGAACCAGCCAAGUAGCGUGAAGGAUGACUGCCCUAUGGGUUGUAAACUUCUUUUAUAUGGGAAUAAAAUGUUCCACGUGUGGGAUUUUGUAUGUGCCAUAUGAAUAAGGAUCGGCUAACUCCGUGCCAGCAGCCGCGGUAAUACGGAGGAUCCGAGCGUUAUCCGGAUUUAUUGGGUUUAAAGGGAGCGUAGGUGGAUUGUUAAGUCAGUUGUGAAAGUGUGCGGCUCAACCGUAAAAUUGCAGUUGAAACUGGGAGUCUUGAGUACAGUAGAGGUGGGCGGAAUUCGUGGUGUAGCGGUGAAAUGCUUAGAUAUCACGAAGAACUCCGAUUGCGAAGGCAGCUUACCAGUCUGCGACUGACGCUCAGGCACGAAAGUGUGGGUAUCGAACAGGAUUAGAUACCCCCGUA